rnacentral:rRNA from 1 species
UACGUAGGGGGCUAGCGUUGUCCGGAAUCAUUGGGCGUAAAGCGCGUGUAGGCGGUUCGGUAAGUCCGCUGUGAAAGUCGGGGGGCUCAACCCUCGGAUGCCGGUGGAUACUGCCGGGCUGGAGUCCGGAAGAGGCGAGUGGAAUUCCUGGUGUAGCGGUGAAAUGCGCAGAUAUCAGGAGGAACACCAAUGGCGAAGGCAGCUCGCUGGGACGGUACUGACGCUGAGACGCGAAAGCGUGGGGAGCAAACAGG